GGAUGUGAGGGCAAUCUGGCUGUGACAUCUGUCACCUCAUUGAUUGGCAGGGUUGAUUCAGCUGAUCUGGCUAGCUAGGUGGGUGUCCCCUUUCUACCUCACUGCUCCAGGUGCAUCCUAACCAAAGCCCUGGGAUUGAUCAGAUCCUUCCUCCAUAGAAGAGGACUGUUCUUCUGUCAAGCGUGUACAAGUAGCUGUACUCCCUUGCUAGAACCUCCAAACAAGCUCUUAAAACAUCAUUAAGCUUAAGAAUAUUUAUUUAUUUAUUUAUUUAUUUAUGAGAUGGAGUCUCACUCUGUCACCCAGUCUGGAGUGCAGCGGCAUGA
rnacentral:snRNA from 1 species